UUCAUACUAAUGAUGAUACAAAUAGCACAAAUACUAAUAACAACGAGUAGACGCUGUAAAAGGGUCCGAGAGCCGCAAAAAUCUCAUAUUCGUUAUCUUCUGUUUCUAUUUUUGAGUCUGUAUUAUUUUGUUUGAUUUUUCUUUUUCUCAAUUUAU
rnacentral:ribozyme from 1 species